rnacentral:tRNA from 1 species
GGGGAUGUAGCUCAGUAGCUGGGUGUUUGCCUUGCAUGCAUAAGGCCCUAGGUUCAAUCCUCAGUAUCUCAG